rnacentral:rRNA from 1 species
AGUACCGAAGGUCAUGAGUUCACACUGCCAAGAAAAGCUUCUAGCCAGGCGAAGGUGCCCGUACCGCAAACCGACACAGGUGGGUGAGAAGAGAAUUCUAAGGCGCGCGGAAGAACUCUCGUUAAGGAACUCGGCAAAAUGACCCCGUAACUUCGGGAGAAGGGGUGCCUCGGUAGGGUGAAUAGCCCGAGGGGGCCGCAGUGAAAAGGCCCAAGCGACUGUUUAGCAAAAAUACAGGUCUGUGCGAAGCCGCAAGGCGAAGUAUACGGGCUGACGCCUGCCCGGUGCUGGAAGGUUAAGAGGAGUGGUUAGGGGCAACCCGAAGCUAUGAAUUGAAGCCCCAGUAAACGGCGGCCGUAACAAUAACGGUCCUAAGGUAGCGAAAUUCCUUGUCAGGUAAAUUCUGACCCGCACGAAUGGCGUAACGACUUGGGCGCUGUCUCAACGAGAGAUCCGGUGAAAUUUUAAUACCUGUGAAGAUGCAGGUUACCCGCGACAAGACGGAAAGACCCCAUGGAGCUUUACUGCAGCUUGAUAUUGGACUUUGGUACGAUCUGUACAGGAUAGGUGGGAGCCUUUGAAGCCUGAGCGCCAGCUUGGGUGGAGGCAUCGUUGGGAUACCACCCUGAUCGUAUCGGAGUUCUAACCUAGUACCGUGAUCCGGUAUGGGGACAGUGUCAGGUGGGCAGUUUGACUGGGGCGGUCGCCUCCUAAAAUGUAACGGAGGCGUUUAAAGGUUCCCUCAGAAUGGUUGGAAAUCAUUCGCAGAGUGCAAAGGCAUAAGGGAGCUUGACUGCGAGACCUACAAGUCGAGCAGGGACGAAAGUCGGACUUAGUGAUCCGGUGGUACCGAAUGGAAGGGCCAUCGCUCAACGGAUAAAAGCUACCCUGGGGAUAACAGGCUUAUCUCCCCCAAGAGUCCACAUCGACGGGGAGGUUUGGCACCUCGAUGUCGGCUCAUCGCAUCCUGGGGCUGAAGUAGGUCCCAAGGGUUGGGCUGUUCGCCCAUUAAAGCGGUACGCGAGCUGGGUUCAGAACGUCGUGAGACAGUUCGGUCCCUAUCUGUCGCGGGCGUAGGAAAUUUGAGAGGAGCUGUCCUUAGUACGAGAGGACCGGGAUGGACGUACCGCUGGUGUACCAGUUGUCUCGCCAGAGGCAUCGCUGGGUAGCUAUGUACGGAGGGGAUAAGCGCUGAAAGCAUCUAAGCGCGAAGCCCCCCUCAAGAUGAGAUUUCCCAGUAUGUAAGACCCCUUGUAGACGACGAGGUUGAUAGGUUCGAGGUGGAAGUGCGGCAACGUAUGCAGCUGACGAAUACUAAUCGGUCGAGGGCUUAACCAA